rnacentral:rRNA from 1 species
UACAGAGGUCCCAAGCGUUGUUCGGAUUCAUUGGGCGUAAAGGGUGCGUAGGCGGCGCGGUAAGUCGGGGGUGAAAUCUCGGAGCUUAACUCCGAAACUGCAUUCGAUACUGCCGUGCUUGAGGACUGGAGAGGAGACUGGAAUUUACGGUGUAGCGGUGAAAUGCGUAGAUAUCGUAAGGAAGACCAGUGGCGAAGGCGGGUCUCUGGACAGUUCCUGACGCUGAGGCGCGAAGGUCAGGGGAGCAAACGGG